UUUCCAAUUAUUUUAAUAUUUUUUAAUUAGAUAAAAUGGUAAAUUUUGGAUCAAAUUAAGACUAUAAUUUUAGUUCCAGGUAAAUUGGAUCAAAUUUUCAUUUUAAAAACUUCUUGCUUUAGGCAAAUUGGAAUAAAACUUAUAACGGCGUCGUAUAACCUCUGUCUAAAAUCAAUUGCCAUCGCUUUCAGAUUUGGAAAAAAGAAACUCGGCGCUUGCGGAUCUGUAUCGAGCUCACUGACAUCUUCUGCUAGAUCAUCAACUCUCCCUCCUCUACGCCCUUCUACAUCUCUUUUAGCUUCUCGCGUCCUCUCUUCACAUUUCCUGGUUGCCGAGUGAUAACCAGCAAAAUAUCUCAGUUGAUGCGCGCGCGUGCUGCGAAUUGUCUGAGACCACCUUCUUCUUCAAUCGGACUUGUCAAGCUCGCUAGUACUUUAUCUCCUUUUCUUUUCUCUCUAUCUCAAUUUGUCUUUCUAUCAUUACUCGCUACGUUCGAAAUAGGAAUUUUUUCCCACUCUUUCUGUCAAUUUUGUUAGAACAACUAGAUUUUAGUUUUAACAGUCUAUUUAAAUAUUCAAAAUUUUAAAGUUUUCUUCUUUGAUUUUUUUUUUAACCAAUAAAAUGUUUCAGCUUGACAAGCCGCUUUGUACCCACGUUUUGGUUUUUGUUCAAAAGAAAAAAUUAUCACUACUCUGUGUUUACUUCCAUUAUUACUGACAAUUUGAGAGCCACAAAAAUGGGAUUUUGCGUUUUUUCUUCAUUUUUUUAAUGACAAUACAUCUUUUUACUGUUGGACAACAACCAUAAACAGAAAACAAAUUUGGUACCAAAAAGGCCUGUGUAUUAUUGAUUGCACUUGCGAUCUAGGAGAAGGGCCAAUCACAACAGUAACUUAGGGGACCAAGUGCAUACCACAUGUGUGCUGUCUUCUUCUACUUUUAUAGAAUGGCCGCUGUUUAUGUGCUCGAAUGAUGACCUUAAUGGUAACUCUACCAUUACGCUAAAGCGACCCUCAAGCACAAGAUUAGCUGGAUUUUACAGAUCGAAAGAGCAUGGAUGAAUAUAGAGCAUGCUGUUGUCUUGCAUUCCUUUCCAAGGAGUUUGGGAAUGGAAUAUUGUGCGGUUCUGUCCUCUCCACUCCAGCUUGUAAGCCCCUUUAGAGGAGGUGAAACAAAUCUCCUCCUGUAAUCUACGCAUUUAAGGGGGAGAAGAGUAACAUUUCACCACUUAACCUGUACCCAAAGCAUCUAAUAGCAUUUUAGGCAGGAUGAAUUAGAAUUCUAAAUAAAACAAACUGUUUUGCAGCUGUUGUCUGUCGCAGGACAAAUGUAUUAAGGAACCAAUUACUGACAAAUAGAGCAUAAGACAUAGAGAAAUUUCAACAAUUUCCUCGGAAUCACUUGUAUCAUAUGCCUGCGGCAUAUGUAUAGUAUCAGCACAAUCACUUAAGCAUAGAAACUGGACUUUCUGUCAACUUGUUCAAUUCAAGAAAAAAAAAAUUGAAAUUUGUCUUGUGUGUAUAACAAGUCAUGAGUUGGAAACUGAUGGACAACAUGGUUGUGAAUCCCCGGCUAAGCAGUUACGAAAAAUGUAUUUAAGAAGGACGUGCUCUUAGUUAACAAAUCAAAUGGAUGCUUUAAUGUGAAUUACAAGAUGAAUGCCAAGAAAAUCAUAAAACUUACCCGGAAUAGACAUGAAAAAUAAACUUGUCCUACUCAAUUAAUCCUGGGAUAAUCAAGCUCAAACUUCGUGCCAUAUUAGAACUAGUUUUCACGGCGUAAGAAUUUGUUAAGAUUUCCUGUUUCCUUUGUCAGUUACCACUGAAACUCACUUGGAAGUGAGCUCUUAAAUAUUUAAUUCUGCUCAUUUUUUCCAUAUGUUUUAUUCUCUUACUAUUUCUUUGAGCUCAUUGACCCUAAUUUUUAACAUUUACUAGAUUGUUCUUUGUAAAUGUGCCAUGGAUGGAGUAAGGAGUUUUUAUGAUGAAAUGAGUAGUUAUUUAUUUGUACUAUAGGUACCUGAAGUAACUUUUGGAUUGGUGCUCCAACUGUUAUGCUUUGUUUGGUUUAAGUAUAUCAGUGAGGAUUACUUUUGAUGUAGGAGGCAUGUCUCUGUUGUCGAUCACAUUUUGUUGUUUACUUCAUUCUUCUCUUCUUAGCAGCUAAGAACUGAAUUCAUGUAGAUUGAACAUUUCACAACUGGUUUUACUGGCCCUUUUACAAGGCAUUUGACUGGCAUAAAUUUAUAUGAUCUCUGUUACAAAUGUGGGUAACUCUUCCUUCUAUUUACCAUUUAUGAACUUCAGACUUCAGUUUUAGUAAUGCAGAUUGUUGAUGGGAAUCAACAUUUGAAAAAGAAUAUAUAUGUACAUAGGCAUUAACCUUUGGGUUGGAUUGAAUUGAAACCUGUUAAUAGUUUUCCCUUCUCUAGGCUAAAACUCCUUAAUUAAUGGUUAAACAGUGUCUUUGGGAAGGCAUCAUUACAUACAAGAAAUUCAUUUGCUUAAUGGAAUCUGUAUUCUAGCACUUGAAAAUGCAAGAUGCUUGACCUUGAUUCUAUAGGACUAGCUAUAUUAACUCCCAACCAACCAUAUUCUGACCAUACCUUCAUCUAAAAUGAAGGUGUCUUGUAUUUUUUAAAACUGCUUGUUAUGUCCAUAAUUAUGCUCGUUUCUCUAGGUUAUGCUGCAGCUACUUGGUUAGAGUUCCAUGUUGCAUUUUUUUUUUUUAAUAUUAUUCUAACUAAUUUGAGUCAGAGUCAGACUGAACUUUGUUUCUGGAUACAGUGCAGCCAAGUCAAUCGUAAAACGUGGCAUUAAAUUGUGGAAAGAGCCAAAUAUGGGUUCCAAACUUUAUGCUAAUGCAUAUAAAUGUUCUAUAUUCUUGAGCACAUGCUGGUGCCGUUACUAUUUCAGGCACUAUGUCCCACACUUACUUGACCCUUGAUUAGUUGAUAAUUUCUUGUCUCCACAGGUACCCGUAAUGCAAGAAAACGUGGUCUUCCCUCCCUGAAUCCGGUUCUGCAUGGUUGUCGGGAGUUAAGUAUAGAAUUUCAUAUUCUGUUUUUGCUUCUCGAGAUUCAUUAAUCUUAACAUCAUUCUUAUUAGGUUAAGGUUCUUAGCUUUAACAUAAAAAGGGUUGUGCUCUUCAAGUACAUAUAGAAAAUACAGCCUUCUAUUAUUUAGUUGUAUCUGAGAUGUGCAUUUUAAUAACAAAAGAUAUACAUAUAAUUAUAGAAUAAUUGAUAAAUGACUCUUCUACAUUCUUGAGUCAGUAAAAUUCGAUGGGAGAUAUUUUUCUUUAAAUGAUGUCUGUCAUCGUCGAUGUUGCAUAUUGCUUGCUAAUUGUUUUCAGAAAACCAGCAAACGGAGAGUAUAGUAUGGAAGUCUAGCUCUCUCUCUUUCUCUGUGUGUGUAUAAGGAACCAGAUUCAUGGCCACGAGGACAAACAAGAAUGAAUGGCUAUCUAGUGUUCAGUCAUUUUCAUAAGGAUGGAGUUGUUUGCAACUCUCAAUAUUCUCUUACACUAACAAUCAAUUCAUCAUAGAGCAGAAACAUCCUGAAGAAUAUAUCAGAGUAAUUCUACAGAGGUUGUAUUAGCCAAUUCUUGCGGUCGAAUGCCAUAACAAGAGGCAUAUAACUUAAAAACUACUUUUAGGCUAAGCUGCUUUUUCAAAAGCGAUCCAUUAUUAGUGUUCAGUAUAUGAUAUGUUUGCAUCAUCUUAGCUCAUUGAAUAAUGAAAUAGCAAGUUGAGAAGCUUAUCAUAUUCCCUUUUCAUCCUUUUCUUGCCUCUUUUUGAUGGGUAAAGGCAUAUAACCCCUUUGCCAUGCUAGACUUAGCACUUUAAUGACAUCCGUAAUCUCUUCUUUUUUUGAUCUUUAUCAACAGAUGCUAUAACUUUGAUACUUUAAUAAGAUGAUUGGCUUCUGAUGUUUC